GAUGAACGCUGGCGGCGUGCCUAAUACAUGCAAGUCGAGCGAACGGACGAGAAGCUUGCUUCUCUGAUGUUAGCGGCGGACGGGUGAGUAACACGUGGAUAACCUACCUAUAAGACUGGGAUAACUUCGGGAAACCGUAGCUAAUACCGGAUAAUAUUUUGAACCGCAUGGUUCAAAAGUGAAAGACGGUCUUGCUGUCACUUAUAGAUGGAUCCGCGCUGCAUUAGCUAGUUGGUAAGGUAACGGCUUACCAAGGCAACGAUGCAUAGCCGACCUGAGAGGGUGAUCGGCCACACUGGAACUGAGACACGGUCCAGACUCCUACGGGAGGCAGCAGUAGGGAACCUUCCGCAAAGGGCGAAAGCCUGACGGAGCAACGCCGCGUGAGUGAUGAAGGUCUUCGGAUCGUAAAACUCUGUUAUUAGGGAAGAACAUAUGUGUAAGUAACUGUGCACAUCUUGACGGUACCUAAUCAGAAAGCCACGGCUAACUACGUG
rnacentral:rRNA from 1 species